CCCGCCCGGGUCCGUGGUUGCGCCGGACGACAGGUCGACUCUUCGGCCGCGUUCCGGCAAGCCGAUGCCAGCCGCAGGCGAAACGGCCCACGUAAGGCGACUUCUCGUCGACCGAUCACGGUGCGGCUUAGAAGUAAGCCCUGCCCCGCCGGAGGGUCAGAUGCCCUCCGACCCGGGAGAAGGGGAGUAGUGGCAUCCAGCAACCUUGCCGCCGCGAAACCCUCCGCAGGCGGAUGUGGGGACGAAGACCAGGUCGGCCGGGCGGG
rnacentral:ncRNA from 1 species